GAAAAAACCCUUUUCAAAGCGGCACAAGGCUCCAUUUAGCAAGGUUAAAGAUUCACAUCAAAGAAGAACAAAACUAAACAAAGAACCAAACAGCACAGAGUAAUAAAUAGGGCGCGAAAGUUGUCCGGAAUUAUUGGGCGUAAAGGGCUGGUAGGCGGCUUGUCGCGUCAGCUGUGAAAACGCGGGGCUCAACUCCGCGUGUGCAGUGGGUACGGGCAGGCUGGAGUGCGGCAGGGGUGGCUGGAAUUCCUGGUGUAGCGGUGGAAUGCGCAGAUAUCAGGAAGAACACCGAUGGCGAAGGCAGGCCACUGGGCCGUCACUGACGCUGAGGAGCGAAAGCGUGGGGAGCGAACAGG
rnacentral:rRNA from 1 species